rnacentral:rRNA from 1 species
UACGUAGGGUGCGAGCGUUAAUCGGAAUUACUGGGCGUAAAGAGUGCGCAGGUGGCCGCGCAAGUCGAGUGUGAAAUCCCCGAGCUUAACUUGGGAAUUGCGCUCGAAACUACGUGGCUCGAGUGUGGCAGAGGAAGGUGGAAUUCCACGUGUAGCGGUGAAAUGCGUAGAGAUGUGGAGGAACACCGAUGGCGAAGGCAGCAUUCUGGGCCAACACUGACGCUCAUGCACGAAAGCGUGGGGAGCAAACAGG